rnacentral:rRNA from 1 species
CGAAUGCUGACAUAAGUAACGAUAAAGCGGGUGAAAAGCCCGCUCGCCGGAAGACCAAGGGUUCCUGUCCAACGUUAAUCGGGGCAGGGUGAGUCGACCCCUAAGGCGAGGCCGAAAGGCGUAGUCGAUGGGAAACAGGUUAAUAUUCCUGUACUUGGUGUUACUGCGAAGGGGGGACGGAGAAGGCUAUGUUGGCCGGGCGACGGUUGUCCCGGUUUAAGCGUGUAGGCUGGUUUUCCAGGCAAAUCCGGAAAAUCAAGGCUGAGGCGUGAUGACGAGGCACUACGGUGCUGAAGCAACAAAUGCCCUGCUUCCAGGAAAAGCCUCUAAGCAUCAGGUAACAUCAAAUCGUACCCCAAACCGACACAGGUGGUCAGGUAGAGAAUACCAAGGCGCUUGAGAGAACUCGGGUGAAGGAACUAGGCAAAAUGGUGCCGUAACUUCGGGAGAAGGCACGCUGAUAUGUAGGUGAAGUCCCUCGCGGAUGGAGCUGAAAUCAGUCGAAGAUACC